rnacentral:rRNA from 1 species
GAUGAACGCUGGCGGCGUGCCUAAUACAUGCAAGUCGAGCGAACAGACGAGGAGCUUGCUCCUCUGACGUUAGCGGCGGACGGGUGAGUAACACGUGGAUAACCUACCUAUAAGACUGGGAUAACUUCGGGAAACCGGAGCUAAUACCGGAUAAUAUAUUGAACCGCAUGGUUCAAUAGUGAAAGACGGUUUUGCUGUCACUUAUAGAUGGAUCCGCGCCGCAUUAGCUAGUUGGUAAGGUAACGGCUUACCAAGGCAACGAUGCGUAGCCGACCUGAGAGGGUGAUCGGCCACACUGGAACUGAGACACGGUCCAGACUCCUACGGGAGGCAGCAGUGGGGAAUCUGCCGCAAUGGGCGAAAGCUUGACGGAGCAACGCCGCGUGAGUGAUGAAGGUCUUCGGAUCGUAAAACUCUGUUAUUAGGGAAGAACAAAUGUGUAAGUAACUAUGCACGUCUUGACGGUACCUAAUCAGAAAGCCACGGCUAACUACGUG